GAGAUUAAGCCUAAAGAACCCUAGAAGCUGCUCUGAUUCCCCACCGUCUCAGGUUGUCGUUGCUGGUCCCAAAUAACCCCAAAACAACACUAGAGAACCCUCAUGGCUCCUACUUCCUUAGUCCACAACUAUUUUCCCUCGAAUCUGCCUAGAGCCCUUCGAAUCUUAAAUCAAAAGUCGGAACCCUAAAUCCCCGAAGAUGCAAAUUAGCCAGUUGGAAGAAGAUUUGAGUUCGAAUUGAACUUUAGUCGCGCGUUUUCGCCGAGAACACACAAUUAAGGUUUACUUCGAUCCAAAAUCAGAUUCUUCAAAGGGUCUUUCAAAGAUUUUGUUCACCUGGUUUGGACAAGUAUUUUCAGUAUCCCUUUUUCUUUAUUUCUUUUACCUCUCUUCUUCUAUUCUUCUUCUUUUCCUCUGUUUUCUCAAAAUCACUUCUGCAUGUAUCUCUUUAAUCCAGGCUAAUCGUUAGCUAGUAUCUUUUUAAUUCUAUUUGGAUUCAUUUAUUUUGAGUUUGUUUGAUUUUCAUUUAGUUUUGAGCCAAAGGGACCAUUUGGUUAAGAAAUUCGUUUGCUUUAGCAUUGCCUUUGUUUAUUAUUGGUUCUGCCUUUUAAAUUCUUCUAUUGAAUUUUUGAAUUGGACUUGGGUCCAAAUGGAAGGGAUUAGGCCACGCUUUGUUGUGUUAUAACAUUGGGUCAAUUUGACCCAUGCCCAUUUGGGUUCACUGAAGUAAAAACAGAGUGCUUAAGGGGUAAAUUGGGGAAAGUAGGUAGGGGAAUCUCUUAAUAACUGAUUAGGAAGCUUCCCAGAAGCUGUCAAGAGGACCUAGAUGAAAACAUGAUUUUUACAUUAAGGAGACUUAUGCAAAAUGAAAAUUGAAAAAGGCAGAAGGGCAAAGCUGAAUACAUUUUUGUUGCCCUAAAGGCUUGCCUAUAAAGGCACAUUGUCUUCUAUUCCAAGUCAGAGAAAAAAUGGAGAUAAAAAAUUGUAAAAAAAGUUGAAACAGCUAAGUUCUUGAAGAAAAAAAAAUCUAAUGCCCCUGCAUUUCUUGUUUGAAAACUGCUAAACUCCUGCUUAUUUGGUGUCAUCUGAUUUCAUUUUUGUUUUGGAAAAUCUCCUCUGAAAAUAUCAAAAUCUUGAACCUUGGUUCAAUGGCCUGAGUUUAGUUUCUUAGAGUUUGGUUUUGAGUUUUUGCUGCUGGGGUUACUGUGCUAUUGAAUUUGGGUUUGAUCUUUGCUAUUGUUGUUACUGUUCUAGUGCUUCUUGCUGGGUUCUGCCUGCUGCUUUCUACUGCUUCCUCACAUUUUUUUCCUUUCAAUUUUGAGGUAUAUAUCUCUGAUUCUAGAUAUGUAAAAAUUGUUUAUGUGAUCUUGAAGAAAUGAGUGUUUGGUUUAAUUUCCCUAUUGUAGUGUGUUAAAAGUAGAGUUAUGCUUUGAAUUUUUAGGUUUAUAUUAAAAAUUGUAAUUAAACUUUGUUUGGUAUUUGUUGGUUUUCAGUUUGUUUUGAAGUCAUGUUUCAUGAGUUGGGUUGGGUGGUAUGGAUGUGAGAUCAAUAUGGGAUAGCUAUAGGAUCUUUUGAGUAAAUAUGUCUAGGGGUAUUAGAUCCAAAGAGUACCUUCAUGAAUAGUACCUAUCUUCAUGUCUUCCUCUUUUCGUACUCAUUUGUUAAAAAGUAAGCCCAUGUGAUUAAGGAUCUAAAUAUGGUUUUGAGGUCCAUGUAAUUUGUAUGUUAUUUUUAUUUGGAAUUCUGAUAGUUUGGAGAAGAGUUUGCUUGAGCUUAAUAUUGUUAAGUAGUAAUAAGUGUAGAAUUCAUGAGAAGAGAAAAGAAAGGAAAAAAUGUUCAAGAUUGCUUUUAAGAGUAAAGGCACGUUACUCAUUUAAUUGUCAUAACCCUAACCCCGAUCGUGAUGGCGCCCAACAUAAUUGCUAGGCAAGCCUGACUAUUUGAACACUCUCAACCCAAGUACGAAAAUCCAUUAC
rnacentral:lncRNA from 1 species